rnacentral:rRNA from 1 species
UACCAGCACCCCGAGUGGUCGGGACGAUUAUUGGGCCUAAAGCAUCCGUAGCCGGUUCUGCAAGUCCCCCGUUAAAUCCAGCUGCUCAACAGAUGGGCCGCGGAGGAUACUACAGAGCUAGGAGGCAGGAGAGGCAAGCGGUACUCAGUGGGUAGGGGUAAAAUCCGUUGAUCCAUUGAAGACCACCAGUGGCGAAGGCGGCUUGCCAGAAUGCGCUCGACGGUGAGGGAUGAAAGCUGGGGGACGCAAACCGG